GUAGGUGAACCUGCGGAAGGAUCAUUACAAAUCUUUGUCUUGCCUAGGUGUAGGCAGGCAGGUCUCUGGCCUGUCUGCCUACUCACUAGCAGACACAUAUGCACAGGGCCGCAAGGCUCUGAUGUUUACGCUUGUUUGUUUGACAGAUUUAUAUGUGACUAAAACUUGACAACUUUUAACAAUGGAUCUCUUGGCUCUUGCAUCGAUGAAGAAGGCAGCAUCUGACUGACUCGACAGCUGACAAUCUCGU
rnacentral:misc_RNA from 1 species